rnacentral:rRNA from 1 species
CUUGGAGGAAUGUAUAGCAAUAGCUAACUGCACUAAAAAUUUUAGUGUAAAAUCGACUAUGUUGAAUAAAAUUCUGGGUAGUACUAUGAUAAUGACAUUACAUAUUCAUAAGUCUUGACCAAAUUACGUGCCAGCAGUCGCGGUAAUACGUAGAAGACAAGUGUUAUUCAUCUUUAAUAGGUUUAAAGCGUACUUAGACGGUAAAUCAAGCCUCAAAAGGGACUAAUUUGCUAGAGUUUUAUGUGAGAAAGUAUUAAAGUACUGUUGGUGUAGAGAUGAAAUUCUGUCAUACCUUAGAUGGCACAGGUUAUGGCGAAAGCAUCUUUUUAUGUAAAAACUGACGUUGAAGGACGAAGGCUUUGUGUCUCGAACAGGAUUAGAUACCCUAGUAGUCUAAGCAGACAAUGAUGAAUGUCAUAGAUUAGAUGUAAUUUGAUCUAUAAAUGAAAGUGUAAGCAUUCCACCUCAAGAGUAAUUUGGCAACAUUGGAACUGAAAUCAUUAGACCGUUUCUGAAACCAGUAGUGAUGUAUGUUGUUUAAUUUGAUAAUCCGCAAAAAACCUUACCACCAUGUGAAUAGAUAUAUUUUAUCAUACAAGCGUUGCACGGCUGUCUUUAGUUAAUGUCGUGAGACUUUGGUUAGUUCCAUAAAAUUAACGUAAACCCUUACUUUAUUUUAAAAUAAAGUAGCUCACCGCUAUAUUGGAUGUGAUAACAGGGAUCAAGACAAGUCAUCAUGACC